AGGUGAGAGUAUCACUUGCUGGAGAUCUCUGCCUUUCUGAGAUAUUCUAAAGGCCUCUGUCUUGUGCUAUUUGACUUCCAGCACAGCAAAGCCAUUUCGUGAUGGAUCCACUGAAACUGCUGCUUCUUGCAGAGCUGAAGAAUGGGACUGCUCUGAAGCACAAGGUUGGCCAGCCACUGGGCCACCAUUUGGUCAUCACCCUUCCAAAGAUCUGUAGUCAACCCCUGCCAGAAGCCACCCAAGGUGUGUUGCUUUGUGCUGAGCCGUGCUGGCAGGCAGCAUGUGUGCCAGGCAU